UAGGGAAUAUUGCGCAAUGGACGAAAGUCUGACGCAGCCACGCCGCGUGAGUGAGGAAGGCCUUCGGGUUGUAAAGCUCUGUCAACAGGGAAAAACGGCUAUCCGGGGAAAGUUCGGGUAGCGUGAUGGUACCUGUGGAGGAAGCACCGGCAAACUCUGUGCCAGCAGCCGCGGUAAUACAGAGGGUGCAAGCGUUGUUCGGAAUUACUGGGCGUAAAGCGUGCGUAGUCGGUAUUGAGAGUCAUAGGUGAAAUCCCAGGGCUUAACCCUGGAACUGCCCGUGAGACCUCAGUACUAGAGUGUGAGAGGGGAUAGUGGAAUACCAAGUGUAGCGGUGAAAUGCGUAGAGAUUUGGUAGAACACCGGUGGCGAAGGCGGCUAUCUGGCUCACAACUGACGAUCAGGCACGAAAGCGUGGGGAGCAAACAGG
rnacentral:rRNA from 1 species